ensembl:lincRNA
AUGCUAAGGUUCACAAACCUUCUCUCUGUCUCCUCAGGAAAUUACCCAGAUCAGCAUUUCCCCAUCUUUCAUGGAAUAAAAGAGAAAUCACCAAGGAUUGGAAGUUGGCUGAUAGAACUGACAUCAGAAAGACCAUUCAAAACGAACAGCCAGUGUCAAGAUCCUGUAUACCCUUCCUGCCAUUACUCCCAAAGUAGCCUUUUCAUGGAUCCAGCUUUCAGGAUCUGUAAAGAGACACAACUGUUUUACAGUUCGAUUGGAACUGGGGAGGAGUUUAAAAGAAUCACAGUAAGCCCUCUGGUCUUUUCCAGGAGGAUAAUCAACAACAUUGACUGAUUAUGUUUGUAUGGCUUGUUGGAUAAAAAGGAAUGAACAGGAGCUCACCAGCCAUCAGAGAAUUGCAGCUAACCCUAGGUAAGCCUAUUGGAACAAAUCCUAUGGUCAAAGAUAUAUUUCUCAUAUAAUGAGAAACAAAACUACAGUUGAACAGUUGUGUUAGAAAUAAUCCACGUAGAACUUUGAAAUGUGUCCAUUUAUAUUUGGUUUAUAUGAAGCACCAGCCUCUACACAGUAUUACAAAUAUACUGCUUAUCAACGUCAAAGUGACUAGAAUGACUAGAACACUGCGUCCAUAGAAACUUUCUUUUUAUUAUUAUUAUUAUACUUUAAGUUUUAGGGUACAUGUGCAUGGACACAGGAAGGGGAACAUCAUAGAAACUUGCUGUCGUACCUCAUUACAGUACAGAUUAUCUACCUUUACUUUCCUAUAAUUCCCUAGAGCACACCUCUCUCAUUUUCCCUGUAUUUUCUAAAUUUAUGGAAUACAUACAGCUUGGAAAUCUUUAUGAUUAUCAGUCUAUUGUCCUAACUUUUAAUUAUCUGAAUCAUAAUAUAUGGGUUCUCUAAUAUAUAUACAGUAUAAUAUAAAAAUAUAUAAUAUUAGUAGCAGCAGCCAGCUUGCUUGCUUGUAUCCUUCCUCCUUCCUUUUUUCUUUCCUUCCUCCCUCCUGACCUUCCUACCUUCCUGCCUCUGUUCCUUCUUCCUCUUUUCCUCCCUCUCCCCCUUUCUUACGUUUCUGUAACAUGUUAUAAUGUCUUUCUGGCUCUAGGAUUGUGCCAUAUAAUGCCUUUCUCCAUCAUAGCUUCCUCGUUUCAAAGAUAUUUUGUCUGUGAAUAUGUAAAAUAAAUGUCAAAUUCCAGAUUGGCAGAAUAAAUGAGUAUUCUUAGAACUUGGCAAUUGGGUGCUACGGAUCCUAUUUAAUACUCCUACAUAUUUGUCUUAUUUUUUACUACAUGUUAGUGAUUCAGUGUUAAAGCCUGAAUUUUUAUACAGGCUGAAGGUUUAGGUUUAUGUGUUUGGUUUUUUUUCCUUUUGGAAUUGGCUGGUAGAUUAUUUACUGCUAAAAACACCAACUCAAUUAAAAUAGAUAUCAAUGCAUCAGGGCUGUAUAUCACAUGCUUGUAAACUGUUAUGUGCAGACCUCAGCAAUUUAUAACUCCUGCUUAAGUACUAAUACAUUGCUAAAAGACAUUAUCAUCAUUAAUUUUGCUUUUUUCUUCUUGCUGCUAUUCAAAGUCAUCCCCAUUUUGAUUUAAAAUUAAAUAAGUCACUUCAUGACAUACAUAAUUACUUAUAUCUGCAACCUGAGACAGAAUUUCUUUCAAGAGGAAUCAGAUUUAUCUCAACUAAUGAGUCAUUGAGUUUCAUUUCUAUUGCCAAGUACACAUUAUCUUUUAUUCAAUAUGAUAUGCCAGAAACUUCCCUAAAUGCCAAAAUAUCAUUUAUCCUCCCUCUACACUCUUUCCCCAGGGAUCCAGGCAUUUUUGUUCACUCACCUCAGCCCUGAUCCACAUGCCUGCUGUUUCCAUCCCAGCCAUCUCUGCAAGCUGCCAAUCAUGCUCCUUUUGGCCAGAAGGCUUAGGGCUUUUGAGUUUGUACAGCCAAAUAUCCAGAGACUGGGUUCACUCCACCCAACACUUUUGGAUUUUGAUUUCAGCAUUAUUUUUCACACAGACUUCCAGAAAUGAAAGGUGGCUUUACCAAAUCCCCAUGACACCUGUUUUUUUCUGUUUAUUUAUAUUUUGCAUUUUCCCAGCUACCACAUAGAAGCCAACCUAGGAGGAGACAGCAGAGGUGAUUGUAAGUGCACUGAGUUUCACAGUGAAUGCAUGCUGUCUGACUGCUGGCUAAGGAGCCUUAUUUACUGAAGGCAUUUUACAAUUUUCUGUUUCCUUCCAAACCACCUCAGCAAGAAUUUUCUUUUGAAUUUCGGUGGUGAGAGGUGAUAGAAUGAUGACAGGUUGGCAUGAUGCAGCCUUUACCUGUUGAAUAGAAAGAAGCUUAAAGUCUUUGAAGAAAAUAUCUAGGAAUAAUGAAAGAAUUUUUUUCCCUUGAGAACUCUGAAUAGUUCAAUAGAGUUAUUAUAAGCCACUAAAGGUGCAUGUUGCUUUUAACUGUGCCAUUCUUAUCUAUUCUCAAAAUUUAGAGAGAAAAAUGUUUGGAAUUAGCAGAUUAUUAUAUUUUUAUUACCUUACAUUUGAUUAUGCU